rnacentral:misc_RNA from 1 species
UUUUUUAAUAUACUUUUUUUACUAUAUUCGAAAUAUAUGAGUAAAGAAAUAUUUUAACACUUAGUUGGAAUAAUUUAUUAGAUUUUAUCACAAGUAUAAUAAUUUUGGUUCUAAAAGAUAUAUUGACCUUAGUAAACCUGGGAUAUGAUUUUUGAAUUUAACAGAAUAGCUUAGCCCCUAUCUUAAAAUCUUGCACAAAUGGUAUGAUUGUGUUAAGUGCUACUAAUCUAACAUUUAGUCUACGUAACAAGUUGGCUGGUAUAGUAUAUAUACCAGCCAACUUUCAAACUAUACCGCACAAUAGCUCUUUUGGCUACUGUGCGGUUGACAUGCUGUAAACGUUCAAAACGUUUAUCUAAAGACGCAAAAAGAAAGUCUUGGACUCCAAGUGUUAAAGAAUGUGGCGAAUCAUUUCUUUUUCUAGCCAAUUCAGUUGAAGAUGCUGAGCAUUCAAUAGAAAACAUAAGAAUUCUUUAUAAUUAUAAUAAUCACACUUCAACCUUUUGUUUAUGCUGUACCACCAAACAUUGCUGUUGCUGUGUACAACAACCCUAGAUGGUCAUUUCAAACGCCUUUGAAAGCCAUGGAUUUUUCUUUUAAACUGAUUCAGGUCUUGAAUAAGGAAUACAAUAGUUUGCGAGUUUUCCAGCUUGGAUGUUUUUACAGAAAUACAUAUAUUGUUUCAAUUGCCCUGAUUUUGAUGUUUCGUGCCCGAAAGCAAGUGAAUUAGCAUCUGAGUUAAAUCUAUAAACUUCUUUCGAUACAUUUCAAUCUUAAUUUAGAUAAAAUAAAGCAUUUAUUUAAAACUA